rnacentral:tmRNA from 1 species
GGGGGCGUACCGGCUUCGACGGGAGCGGUCAGCGUCCAGUGAGACGAGCCGAGUUUGCUGGAGACUCGUAAAACGCCGGCAACCAAACAGACACGCCAACAACGUGGAUGACAUGGCGGUUGCUGCUUAACCAGUGACCCCGAUCGGUUCGGGUAGUCCACGACCCGGGUCCCGGUCUCAUUUAGUGGACUUACCUCGAAGGUCCUGGUCCCGGGGCUUUCGGGGGACACUUAACGGGCUAGCCCCGCCGCGGCGCCCUGGUCUGCGGCGAAAGGCGAAACUAAACCGGGAGCUACGCUCGUAGAAUCUCGCGGACGGCGCGCUCGCGGACGCGGGUUCGAUUCCCGCCGCCUCCACUA